CGGGACACGUGGUAUCCUGUCUGAAUAUGGGGGGACCAUCCUCCAAGGCUAAAUACUCCUGACUGACCGAUAGUGAACCAGUACCGUGAGGGAAAGGCGAAAAGAACCCCGGCGAGGGGAGUGAAAAAGAACCUGAAACCGUGUACGUACAAGCAGUGGGAGCACGCUUAGGCGUGUGACUGCGUACCUUUUGUAUAAUGGGUCAGCGACUUAUAUUCUGUAGCAAGGUUAACCGAAUAGGGGAGCCGAAGGGAAACCGAGUCUUAACUGGGCGUUAAGUUGCAGGGUAUAGACCCGAAACCCGGUGAUCUAGCCAUGGGCAGGUUGAAGGUUGGGUAACACUAACUGGAGGACCGAACCGACUAAUGUUGAAAAAUUAGCGGAUGACUUGUGGCUGGGGGUGAAAGGCCAAUCAAACCGGGAGAUAGCUGGUUCUCCCCGAAAGCUAUUUAGGUAGCGCCUCGUGAAUUCAUCUCCGGGGGUAGAGCACUGUUUCGGCAAGGGGGUCAUCCCGACUUACCAACCCGAUGCAAACUGCGAAUACCGGAGAAUGUUAUCACGGGAGA
rnacentral:rRNA from 1 species